GAUCUCAAAUCAAGUAAGACUAC
rnacentral:rRNA from 1 species